GGGAAGGUAGCUCAGUGGUAGAGUGCUUGCCUUGAAUUCAUGAGGCCCUGGGUUCGAUUCCUCAGCACCA
rfam:Dipodomys ordii contig_37776, whole genome shotgun sequence.